rnacentral:pre_miRNA from 1 species
CUUGUACUCCCUCCAUCCAAAAAUACUUGUCAUUGAAAUGGAUAUAUCUGGAUGUAUUUUAGUUCUAGACACAUCCAUUUUGAUAACAAGUAAUUCCGGACGGAGGGAGUACUUG